UACGUAGGGGGCAAGCGUUGUCCGGAUUUACUGGGCGUAAAGAGCGCGUAGGCGGAAGCUUAAGUGCGGCCUGAAAGCCCCCGGCUCAACCGGGGAGGGUCACUCGAUACUGAUCGACUUGAAGGCAGGAGAGGGAAGCGGAAUUCCCGGUGUAGUGGUGGAAUGCGUAGAUAUCGGGGGGAAUACCAGUGGCGAAAGCGGCACCCUGGCGUCGUACGUGACGCUCAUGUGCGAAAGCGUGGGGAGCGAACGGG
rnacentral:rRNA from 1 species